rnacentral:rRNA from 1 species
AUUGAACGCUGGCGGCAUGCCUUACACAUGCAAGUCGAACGGUAACGCGGGGCAACCUGGCGACGAGUGGCGAACGGGUGAGUAAUGCAUCGGAACGUGCCCAGUAGUGGGGGAUAGCCCGGCGAAAGCCGGAUUAAUACCGCAUACGACCUAAGGGUGAAAGCGGGGGAUCGCAAGACCUCGCGCUAUUGGAGCGGCCGAUGUCAGAUUAGGUUGUUGGUGGGGUAAAGGCCUACCAAGCCGACGAUCUGUAGCUGGUCUGAGAGGACGACCAGCCACACUGGGACUGAGACACGGCCCAGACUCCUACGGGAGGCAGCAGUGGGGAAUUUUGGACAAUGGGGGCAACCCUGAUCCAGCCAUGCCGCGUGCGGGAAGAAGGCCUUCGGGUUGUAAACCGCUUUUGUCAGGGAAGAAACGCUCUGGGCUAAUACCCCGGGGUAAUGACGGUACCUGAAGAAUAAGCACCGGCUAACUACGUGCCAGCCGCCGCCGUAACAC